CCCUGGGCUCCGUGCGACGGGCAGCCGUGAACCCCGCCAGGUCCGGAAGGAAGCAACGGUAACGGUGAAGUUCGUGCGCCGCGGACCACCUGGGGCCU
rnacentral:SRP_RNA from 1 species